rnacentral:rRNA from 1 species
UACGGAAGGUCCGGGCGUUAUCCGGAUUUAUUGGGUUUAAAGGGAGCGCAGGCUGGCGAUUAAGCGUGACGUGAAAUGCCGCGGCUCAACCGUGGAAGUGCGUCGCGAACUGGUCGUCUUGAGUGCAUUCGAGGCACGCGGAAUUUGUGGUGUAGCGGUGAAAUGCUUAGAUAUCACGAAGAACUCCGAUUGCGAAGGCAGCGUGCCAGGCUGUUACUGACGCUAAAGCUCGAAAGUGCGGGUAUCGAAC